rnacentral:rRNA from 1 species
GACGAACGCUGGUGGCGCGCCUAACACAUGCAAGUCGAACGAGCGAGAGAGAGCUUGCUUUCUCGAGCGAGUGGCGAACGGGUGAGUAACGCGUGAGGAACCUGCCUCAAAGAGGGGGACAACAGUUGGAAACGACUGCUAAUACCGCAUAAGCCCACGGGUCGGCAUCGACCAGAGGGAAAAGGAGCAAUCCGCUUUGAGAUGGCCUCGCGUCCGAUUAGCUAGUUGGUGAGGUAACGGCCCACCAAGGCGACGAUCGGUAGCCGGACUGAGAGGUUGAACGGCCACAUUGGGACUGAGACACGGCCCAGACUCCUACGGGAGGCAGCAGUGGGGAAUAUUGCACAAUGGGGGAAACCCUGAUGCAGCGACGCCGCGUGGAGGAAGAAGGUCUUCGGAUUGUAAACUCCUGUUGUUGGGGAAGAUAAUGACGGUACCCAACAAGGAAGUGACGGCUAACUACGUGCCAGCAGCCGCGGUAAAACGUAGGUCACAAGCGUUGUCCGGAAUUACUGGGUGUAAAGGGAGCGCAGGCGGGAAGACAAGUUGGAAGUGAAAUCUAUGGGCUCAACCCAUAAACUGCUUUCAAAACUGUUUUUCUUGAGUAGUGCAGAGGUAGGCGGAAUUCCCGGUGUAGCGGUGGAAUGCGUAGAUAUCGGGAGGAACACCAGUGGCGAAGGCGGCCUACUGGGCACCAACUGACGCUGAGGCUCGAAAGUGUGGGUAGCAAACAGAAUUAGAUACCCUGGUAGUCCACACCGUAAACGAUGAUAAAAGGGUGUUGGAGGAUUGACCCCUUCAGUGCCGCAGUAACACAAUAAG